rnacentral:rRNA from 1 species
CGCGUAGGCGGAUUGGAAAGUUGGGGGUGAAAUCCCGGGGCUCAACCCCGGAACUGCCUCCAAAACUCCCAGUCUAGAGUUCGAGAGAGGUGAGUGGAAUUCCGAGUGUAGAGGUGAAAUUCGUAGAUAUUCGGAGGAACACCAGUGGCGAAGGCGGCUCACUGGCUCGAUACUGACGCUGAGGUGCGAAAGCGUGGGGAGCAAACA